rnacentral:sRNA from 1 species
GCCAGGUGCGGUGGCGCCCACCUGUCAUCCCAGCAGCUCAGGAGGCUGAGGCAGGAGGAUUGGGAGUUGAAAGGCAGCCUCAGCAACUUAGUGAGGCCCUAAGCAACUCAGUGAGACCCUGUCUCUA